rnacentral:rRNA from 1 species
CCUACGGGAGGCAGCAGUGGGGAAUUUUGGACAAUGGGGGCAACCCUGAUCCAGCAAUGCCGCGUGAGUGAAGAAGGCCUUCGGGUUGUAAAGCUCUUUUGUCAGGGAAGAAAAGGGAGUGGCUAAUAUCCAUUCCUGCUGACGGUACCUGAAGAAUAAGCACCGGCUAACUACGUGCCAGCAGCCGCGGUAAUACGUAGGGUGCAAGCGUUAAUCGGAAUUACUGGGCGUAAAGCGUGCGCAGGCGGUUUCGUAAGUCUGUCGUGAAUUCCCCGGGCUUAACCUGGGAAUGGCGAUGGAGACUGCGAGGCUAGAGUUUGGCAGAGGGGGGUAGAAUUCCACGUGUAGCAGUGAAAUGCGUAGAGAUGUGGAGGAACACCGAUGGCGAAGGCAGCCCCCUGGGUCAAAACUGACGCUCAUGCACGAAAGCGUGGGGAGCAAACAGGAUUAGAUACCCUGGUAGUCCACGCCCUAAACGAUGUCUACUAGUUGUCGGGUCUUAAUUGACUUGGUAACGCAGCUAACGCGUGAAGUAGACCGCCUGGGGAGUACGGUCGCAAGAUUAAAACUCAAAGGAAUUGACGG